UACAGAGGCCUCGAGCGUUAGGCGGAAUCACUGGGCUUAAAGCGCGUGUAGGCGGAUCGUUAAGUGUCUUGUGAAAUCCCACGGCCCAACCGUGGAACUGCUGGGCAUACUGGCGAUCUUGGGCCACUCAGGGGCAACCGGAACAAGCGGUGGAGCGGUGAAAUGCGUAGAUAUCGCUUGGAACGCCAAAGGUGAAGACAGGUUGCUGGGGGUGUGCCGACGCUGAGACGCGAAAGCCAGGGGAGCAAACGGG
rnacentral:rRNA from 1 species